rnacentral:rRNA from 1 species
UGGGGAAUCUUGGGCAAUGGGCGAAAGCCUGACCCAGCAACGCCGCGUGGGUGAUGAAGGCCCUCGGGUCGUAAAGCCCUGUCGGAAGGAAAGAAUACUCCUAGGGUGAACAAUCCUAGGGGAUGACGGUACCUUCAAAGGAAGCACCGGCUAACUCCGUGCCAGCAGCCGCGGUAAGACGGAGGGUGCUAGCGUUGUUCGGAAUCAUUGGGCGUAAAGGGCGUGUAGGCGGUUUGCUAAGUCAUGCGUGAAAGCACUCGGCUUAACUGAGGAUGGGCGUAGGAUACUGGUGAGCGAGAGUGCGGAAGAGGGGGGUGGAAUUCCAGGUGUAGCGGUGAAAUGCGUAGAUAUCUGGAGGAACACCGGUGGCGAAGGCGACCCCCUGGUCCGACACUGACGCUGAGACGCGAAAGCGUGGGUAGCAAACAGGAUUAGAUACCCGGGUAGUCC